UUGAACAAAGACAAGAAUGGCUUGAACAUCGACAAGAUCAAAUCCUAUCUGAGCUGCAGCAAAUUCAUCGACAAUUUGACUCUUUAUUUAGGCAUUUUAAUUUUUCACCUCCUGAAUGAGCUUGUAUGUGUAUUGUAAACUCUUUAUGAUCACAAUGCCUUGUGCCUUGAUGUAUUUAUUUGUGAGCAAAGUUACAAACAUCAC
rnacentral:lncRNA from 1 species